CUUACCACUCUUGAAAAGUGGCAAGGUCUUGGAAGGCAACGAAGGACAGAGAAACUUCACAGACCUGAGGGGACCACGGAAACUUGGUGAUAGAAGGUGGAACCCAGAUGGGGCCCUGGAACAGAAGUAGAAAAGUUGGAGAAAUGCAGACAGGAUCUGCACCUUCCGGGGUGAGGGCUGGGAUGCCUUCCAGGUCAGCCCUCCCUGCUGCCCAGCUCUCCUCAGAGGAAGAACCAGGAGAUGCCUUCGCCCUGGCACCCACCCCGCCAGAGGGCCCUUUUGCUGAGGGCAGAUUUCACACUCACUGGCUCCAAACUGAUGGUGGGAAAUAGGAACAAAAUAUGAACUGCUUUUUUUAUGUAUUGUUUCUUCUGGAGAUGAAAACAUUCUGGAAGCUGACAAGUGAUCCGUGGGGCAUCACCCGGGAAGAGAAGUCACAUCCUGCAACUCCGCCUUGGGACUCUGCUUCCUUAGAAGACGAUCAACCUCACAGGAAUCGAACUUGCAAUCAGCGGGGACUGAGCACGCUGCUUCCAGUACUUGGAUGCCCCAAGGAGAAAUACAGGGCAGCCCCAGGCAGGAUCCCUGCCCUCCAGGAGCUCCCAAGGUAGAGGAAGA